rnacentral:rRNA from 1 species
CCUACGGGUGGCAGCAGUGAGGAAUAUUGGUCAAUGGCCGGAAGGCUGAACCAGCCAAGCCGCGUGAAGGACGAAGGUGUCAAGCACUGUAAACUUCUUUUGACAAGGGACACAAUCAGGCUCGAGGGCCUGACCUAGGGUACUUGAAGAAAAAGCAUCGGCUAACUCCGUGCCAGCAGCCGCGGUCAUACGGAGGAUGCGAGCGGUAUCCGGAUUUAUUGGGUUUAAAGGGAGCGUAGGCGGACUGUUAAGUCAGCGGUAAAAGCCCGGGGCUCAACCCCGGCGAGCCGUGGAAACUGGCUGUCUUGAGAUGUCGAGAGGUAUGCGGAAUGCGCAGUGUAGCGGUGAAAUGCGUAGAUAUUGCGCAGAACUCCGAUUGCGAAGGCAGCAGACCGGCGGCGAUCUGACGCUGAGGCACGAAAGCGUGGGUAUCGAACAGGAUUAGAUACCCGGGUAGUC